AGCGGCGGAUGGGUGAGUAACACGUGGGGAACCUGCCCCUAAGUCUGGGAUACCAUUUGGAAACAGGUGCUAAUACCGGAUAAUAAGGCAGAUCACAUGAUCAGCCUUUGAAAGGCGGCGUAAGCUGUCGCUAAGGGAUGGCCCCGCGGUGCAUUAGCUAGUUGGUAAGGUAACGGCUUACCAAGGCGACGAUGCAUAGCCGAGUUGAGAGACUGAUCGGCCACAUUGGGACUGAGACACGGCCCAAACUCCUACGGGAGGCAGCAGUAGGGAAUCUUCCACAAUGGACGCAAGUCUGAUGGAGCAACGCCGCGUGAGUGAAGAAGGUUUUCGGAUCGUAAAGCUCUGUUGUUGGUGAAGAAGGAUAGAGGUAGUAACUGGCCUUUAUUUGACGGUAAUCAACCAGAAAGUCACGGCUAACUACGUGCCAGCAGCCGCGGUAAUACGUAGGUGCAAGCGUUGUCCGGAUUUAUUGGGCGUAAAGCGAGCGCAGGCGGAAAAAUAAGUCUAAUGUGAAAGCCCUCGGCUUAACCGAGGAACUGCAUCGGAAACUGUUUUUCUUGAGUGCAGAAGAGGAGAGUGGAACUCCAUGUGUAGCGGUGGAAUGCGUAGAUAUAUGGAAGAACACCAGUGGCGAAGGCGGCUCUCUGGUCUGCAACUGACGCUGAGGCUCGAAAGCAUGGGUAGCGAACAGGAUUAGAUACCCUGGUAGUCCAUGCCGUAAACGAUGAGUGCUAAGUGU
rnacentral:rRNA from 1 species